rnacentral:tRNA from 2 species
AUAGGUAUAAGUUAAUUGGUAAACUAAAUGUCUUCCAAACAUUGAAUAUGAGUUCAAGUCUCAUUACCUAUA